CCUUCAUCUCCCUCUCGAAAUCUACAACUCCACCUCCAUGCCUUGGGUUUUAUCUCCCCUGAUCUUGUGCUUCAUUUGAUCUGAAUAUCUGUGACUUCCCUGUCAUGAAACCAAUGACGAGACCACCCUCUCUCUUCUGCAGCAUGCUUCAUCUUCCCCCUCUCUGUGAAUUAAAUUUCCUCCAAAUCCUUCAUCUCCUCUCAGCCCCCACGAUGUGCACCCACAAAUCUGCGAAAGAGAACCCGCAUCCAGAGAUUUGCAGCCACGCAGUUAAGUUCAUCAAGAAUAAGAAGAUAUGGGGGGUUGUGAAGUCGUUGUCUUUACAGCCUUAUGCAAAUCCUAGAAGCAACUAACUUGAAAAAUGCGAGGUGUAAAUUUUUCGUAUGGGCAAAUAUAAGGCUUGGAAGACUUGGGAUGACAUAUUACAGCACAAAUAUACAGUUCAAAAGAGGGAAAAUAAAGUGAGAGAGAUGGAGACAAAUAUUCAGAAGAAAAAGUGAAAAUUAUUUUGUUUGUAUUGAGUUAUCACAUUUAUAAUAGCAUUUGCUUGGCUUGGAUAAUUUGUAUGUAAAUAGUACGUUGUAUAGAGUAUAUGGUUUUUGAAUGGAAACAGCUUGUGCACAUAAUUUGA